rnacentral:rRNA from 1 species
UACGGGGGGGGGCAAGCGUUGUUCGGAAUUACUGGGCGUAAAGGGCUCGUAGGCGGCCAACUAAGUCAGACGUGAAAAUCCCUCGGCUUAACCGGGGAACUGCAUCUGAUACUGGAUGGCUUGAGUUCGGGAGAGGGAUGCGGAAUUCCAGGUGUAGCGGUGAAAUGCGUAGAUAUCGGGAGGAACACCUGUGGCGAAGGCGACCCCCUGGUUGGAUACUGACGCUGAGACGCGAAAGCGUGGGGAGCAAACAGG